rnacentral:tRNA from 1 species
GCCGUAGCUCCGUGGUAGAGCAGUGGCUUGGCAUGCAGAAGGCGGCCGGUUCAAUCCCUGCCAUCUGCU